rnacentral:rRNA from 1 species
CAACGCCGCGUGAGGGAUGAAGGCCUUCGGGUCGGUAAACCUCUUUUCUCAGGGAAGAUAAAUUGACGGUACCUGAGGAAGAAGCCACGGCUAACUACGUGC